rnacentral:rRNA from 1 species
AUGUUUGGGAUCCAACCCAGGGAUGUGUCAGACGAUGAUUUCAACCCGAGGAGGAGGAGGUGGUCAUUGUGGACCACGCCACCUGCAUCCAUGCCCACCACCAGCCACACUAGCAGGCCCCGGAAGGGCCAUGCCAACACCUACCACAUGUCGGUCAAGUUUGAGGAUCUCUGUGGCUUCAUGGUGGAGGGCAACGUGGACGAUGUCAAUGUGCUGAACGAGGUGAGGGAGAGGAUAAGGGAGCAAGGGAGGGUGUGGUGGGCGCUGGAGGCAAGCAAGGGCGCAAACUGGUACCUCCAGCCCAGGAUCUCCUCCAACGGUGGCCAGGGUGUGAUUAGUGUCACGUCGCUCAAGCUAUCAGUGCUCACAAAUACAGUUACACUGAGGAGGCUGAUCAGGAAGGGGGUGCCACCAGCGCUGAGGCCAAAGGUAUGGCUGUCGGUGUCGGGUGCAGCCAAGAAACGGUCGACAGUGCCUGAGACAUACUAUGACGAGCUGAUCAGGGCCACGGAGGGGAAAACUACACCGGCCACUCGCCAAAUUGACCAUGAUCUCCCUCGCACCUUCCCUUGCCAUCCCUGGUUGAACAGCGAGGAAGGUCAGGCAUCUCUUCGACGUGUACUUGCUGGGUACUCAUUCCGUGAUUCAGAAGUUGGAUAUUGCCAGGGUUUGAAUUAUGUAGCCGCUCUGUUGUUGCUCGUUAUGAAGACAGAGGAAGAUGCAUUCUGGAUGCUUGCCGUACUCUUGGAAAAUGUUCUUGUCAGUGAUUGUUAUACUGAUACUCUUUCUGGAUGCCAUGUUGAGCAGAGAGUAUUCAAAGAUCUUCUAGCUAAAAAAUGCCCCAGGAUUGCUGCUCAUCUUGAAGCAAUGGGGUUUGAUGUUUCACUUGUUGCCACAGAAUGGUUUUUGUGCCUCUUCUCCAAAACAUUGCCAUCCGAGACAACCCUCCGUGUGUGGGAUGUGUUAUUCAAUGAAGGAGCAAAGGUCUUGUUCCAUGUCGCCCUAGCAAUUUUCAAGAUGAGAGAAGACGAUCUUCUACGCAUCCAACAUAUUGGUGAUGUAAUUGAUGUUCUGCAGACAACUGCCCAUCACUUAUAUGAGCCUGAUGAACUGCUCACGUUUGCGUUUGAUAAGAUUGGCUCCAUGACAACAAACACAAUCACAAAAGAAAGGAAACGGCACGAGACGGUGGUCAUGGCGGAGCUUGACCAAAGAACCAGACGGCUGGGGUCGCUUAAGAUGGAUGCAUGA